rnacentral:lncRNA from 1 species
CCUCCACAAAAUCCCAAAAAAGAAAGUUAAAUAAAUUUUAUGUUUUAGCACAAACCAAAAAAAUAUAUUAAAAUCAUGGCACUCUAAAUUUUGUAUGCGGAUGACAUGCGUAAAUGGACCACAAGCGUUUGUAUGCCCUUACUCUACAACAAAUUAUGAGUAUUAAAAUGAUUGAGAACUGCUUACUAAAUAAAAGCCUUUCUUUUCU